GCCUGGCAGCGCCGCCCCCGAGCGGGGGGCUUGCUUGCUGGAGGCGGGGCUGCCGGGUCU
rnacentral:precursor_RNA from 1 species